AUUGAACGCUGGCGGCAGGCUUAACACCUGCAAGUCGAACGAGUGGCGGACGGGUGAGUAAUGCCUGGGAAUCUAGCUUCUGGAGGGGGAUAACUACGGGAAACUGUAGCUAAUACCGCGUACCAUCGGCUGUGCCCAAGUGGGAUUCUGUAGUUGGUGGGGUAACGGCUCCCCAAGCCGACGGUCUCUAGCUGGUCUGAGAGGAUGACCAGCCACACUGGGAGUGAGACACGGUCUAGACUCCUACGGGAGGCAGCAGUGGGGAAUAUUGCGCAAUGGGGGCAAUCCUGAUGCAGCCAUGCCGCGUGUAUGAAGAAGGCCUUAGGGUUGUAAAGUACUUUCAGCGAGGAGGCGUUACUCGCAGAAGAAGCACCGGCUAACUCCGUGCCAGCAGCCGCGGUAAUAC
rnacentral:rRNA from 1 species